rnacentral:rRNA from 1 species
AUGUCUUGUAGAUCAAUGGCCAACGCUAAUGUCAACAUGAACUUCAACGCGUUCCUAGAGAAAACCAAGCUGAAAGAUGAUGGCAGCAACUAUACGGACUGGGUCCGGAACCUGAGGAUCAUCCUCAUAGCUGCCAGGAAACAAUAUGUCCUAGAAGGACCGCUAGGUGACGCUCCCGUCCCAGAGAACCAAGACAUUAUGAAUGCUUGGCAGUCUCGUGCUGAUGAUUACUCCCUCGUUCAGUGCGGCAUGCUUUACAGCUUAGAACCGGGGCUCCAAAAGCGUUUUGAGCACCACGGAGCAUAUGAGAUGUUCGAAGAGCUGAAACUAGUUUUUCAAGCUCAUGCCCGGGUCGAGAGAUAUGAUGUCUCCGACAAGUUCUACAGUUGUAAGAUG